UACGUAGGGAGCAAGCGUUAUCCGGAAUUAUUGGGCGUAAAGGGUGCGUAGGCGGUCUGUUAAGUUUAAGGUGAAAGCGUGGGGCUCAACCCCAUCAAGCCUUAAAUACUGGCAGACUAGAGUAUUGGAGAGGAAAGUGGAAUUCCGUGUGUAGCGGUAGAAUGCGUAGAUAUACGGAGGAGCACCAACGGCGAAGGCAACUUUCAAGCCAAAUACUGACGCUGAGGCACGAAAGCGUGGGGAGCAAAUA
rnacentral:rRNA from 1 species